UACGAAGGGGGCUAGCGUUGCUCGGAAUCACUGGGCGUAAAGCGCACGUAGGCGGACUCUUAAGUCGGUGGUGAAAUCCUGGAGCUCAACUCCAGAACUGCCUUCGAUACUGAGAGUCUUGAGUCCGGAAGAGGUGAGUGGAACUGCGAGUGUAGAGGUGAAAUUCGUAGAUAUUCGCAAGAACACCAGUAGCGAAGGCGGCUCACUGGCCCGGUACUGACGCUGAGGUGCGAAAGCGUGGGGAGCAAACAGG
rnacentral:rRNA from 1 species